rnacentral:lncRNA from 1 species
UUGAAAUGUAUGAGGUGUUAAAUAUGUUUCAUGAUUACGUGUACAAUGAUGCAUACCUAUUGUUGAAUCUGUUAUGUAGCCGUGUGUGUGUCUUCUCAUUUUGAUUUUGGGUGAUACUGGACACUGUGUGUAUUAUAAUGAUUUCAAAUUCAAUGGAUGCAGUUGUAUGCUCUUGUGUGAUGAUAUUUAACGUUGUUUGGAUUAUCAAAAAUCUUUAUGGGUUACUGUGUAUUUUU